rnacentral:rRNA from 1 species
AUUGAACGCUGGCGGCAGGCCUAACACAUGCAAGUCGAACGAGUGGCGGACGGGUGAGUAAUGUCUGGGAAACUGCCUGAUGGAGGGGGAUAACUACUGGAAACGGUAGCUAAUACCGCAUACCAGCGGAUGUGCCCAGAUGGGAUUAGCUUGUUGGUGGGGUAACAGCUCACCAAGGCGACGAUCCCUAGCUGGUCUGAGAGGAUGACCAGCCACACUGGAACUGAGCCACGGUCCAGACUCCUACGGGAGGCAGCAGUGGGGAAUAUUGCACAAUGGGCGCAAGCCUGCUGCAGCCAUGCCGCGUGUAUGAAGAAGGCCGUCGGGUUGUAAAGUACUUUCAGCGGGGAGGCGUUACCCGCAGAAGAAGCACCGGCUAACUCCGUGCCAGCCGCCGCGGUAAUAC